rnacentral:rRNA from 1 species
UACGUAGGGUGCGAGCGUUGUCCGGAAUCAUUGGGCGUAAAGCGCGUGUAGGCGGCUCGAUAAGUCUGCUGUGAAAGUCCAGGGCUCAACCCUGGGAUGCCGGUGGAUACUGUCGAGCUCGAGUCCGGAAGAGGAGUGUGGAAUUCCUGGUGUAGCGGUGAAAUGCGCAGAUAUCAGGAGGAACACCAAUGGCGAAGGCAGCACUCUGGGACGUGACUGACGCUGAGACGCGAAAGCGUGGGGAGCAAACAGG